CCAGUCCGCGGAGACUCGAAGUCCCGAAAGCUCCGCACCAUCGCAACUAUGGCUCGGAUGAUGGACUCUUACUGAACCGUUGUCUCCAGGACGGUGUGAAUCGCUAUUCAGGCAGUACUGGAAACAGCCCCUGCCAGUCUUGGCUCCUUAGAAGGCCUGAGGAACGUCAGACGGAGUCAAAUAGUAGGCGUGGCCGAGACGACCAGAAACUGCGUGGGCGAGGCCUGAGGAGGCGGAACUUAGAAGAGUCGAGUCCGUAGGGGAAGAGGAGCCGAGUGGGCGGAACUGAGGAGGCGUGAGCAAAUGGAGAAACUGAGGCCAGGAGAGGAUAAGUCACUACCACCCCUCUUCUGCCCCACAAUGAGUGUGGCCACGAGAGGGACACCCAGAGGAAACGCUCCUGGACCCGCCCUGUGGUGGCCGUCACGUGUGAUAGCAGCUUGAGCAUCAGAAGUGCCCGCCCCAGGACACCUGGUCUCCGAUCCUGCACCCCAAGGCCCAGCCUAGCCGCUCUGGAAGUCAGAGGCUCUGACUCUGGGAACCAUGAGAACCAUGCUGGGAAGAGGCAGACAAGUCCACAGCCCUGAGCUCUGGCGGGAGGGUCAGCAGCAUUGGGGCGGGAAUAUAACGACCUGGGCAUUCUUGCUCACGGGCACCUGGGUCUGGGGAUGUCCCACAACACUGAGCCACUGGGGGCCACUCCUGAGGAUGCCCGUCCUGCACUGAGGCCCCCACACCUGAGCCAAGCACGGGAGGAUCUGCUGCCGGGAGGGGCAGCCCCAGCACAGAGGACAGCGAGACAGCAGGAAGAGGCACCUGGGGGCCUGUCCUGGAGUGUGAGCCUCACCUGGGCAGCCAGGCCCGAGCAGCCCAGGUCCCAAGGAAUGGCCUCGUCCCUGUGGGACACAUGCAGUGGAGGCAAAGGACCAAAGUGCGGUGGUGUGGAGUGUCUUCCUUUUCCGGUUUGUCUCUUUUCCCCUAAAAAGCACCACUUGCCUCUGUCUGUGCAAAGAAUAAGGACCCAAAAUAAAUACAGGACAGGACGCUCCGGAAGGUUGCUGUCUGGUGGGUGCAGUGCGGGCGGCCCAGGGUCGCUGCGUGGCCUGCGGAGCAUCGGGGUGGGGAGGGGCUCGGCCGGUGGCAUCCAUCAGGGGCAGGACGAGGACAAGGUUGGCUGGGGUUGGCCGCAGGGCGGCAUGUCCCCGAGCUCUGGGCCUCAGCUGGGCAGGCAGCGCCUCUGGGAAGCGGCUGAGGUGGUGGCGGGCGCUUGGUCCCAGGUGGGGGACUGCAUAGAAAUUACUGCAAAAAGAAAGGGGGUGGUGAGGGCGUUCGAGGACCCGGGUGAGGACCCCCCCACCUGGGG
rnacentral:lncRNA from 1 species